CAAUGAUUAUCUCGAAUUUUUGUCUUUUGUUAAAUCAAACAUUUCUAAGUUUAUAGUACGAGAUUACGGUGAUUUUUGUUAUACAAAUCACAGUUAGACAUGUUUCAAAACAUUUCCUAAACUAAUAAUUUUUCUUAUCUUAUAUUUUAGAGGACAAUGUUUGAUGAUAGCGUGCAAUAACAGUGAGUGUCUCUCGUAUGGGAAGAACCGUUGGCAUGCUUAUAAAGGAAACACAUAGAACCAUAUAGCAACCCAAGAUUAAAUGGCUAUUUGAAUACAGAGUGACAGUGUUUUUAGGCCAACCAUCAAUGAAGGUCAUCAUAUGAAUAAUUUAAUUGUUUUUGUGUAAAAUAUUUAUUUUUCUAUUUAAUUUACCAGAAGAGAUGUUGUUUCUAUAGCAGUAAUAGUCUCCUCCAAUGAUUUACUUGACAUUUUAAAAUAAAUUAGUUAAAACAAAACCAUAUUUUCAUCAACCGCAUAUAUUUUUAUGAUGAUUUAUA